UACGUAGGGUGCGAGCGUUGUCCGGAAUUAUUGGGCGUAAAGGGCUCGUAGGCGGUCUGUUGCGUCGGUAGUGAAAACUCAGGGCUUAACCCUGAGCCUGCUUCCGAUACGGGCAGACUAGAGGUAUGCAGGGGAGAACGGAAUUCCUGGUGUAGCGGUGAAAUGCGCAGAUAUCAGGAGGAACACCGGUGGCGAAGGCGGGUCUCUGGGCCGAUACUGACACUGAGGAGCGAAAGCGUGGGGAGCGAACAGG
rnacentral:rRNA from 1 species